GUAUUACGGCUCCCUCCGUGUUCCUCACCCCUAAGUGGCCUGUGACUCUGAAGGGCUUGAGGUGUAGUUGAAGAGCAAAGACUGGCUUGUUGGUUCAUGUGGAGGAAGUAAAGUUGAAGAAGGAAAGGGGAAAGAGAUUAAUCCUGUGCAAAGGCUCUCCUGACCUGUGCCUUUUUACUCCAUUGCAAGGGAGACAGGUAUCCACUUCUCUUUCCUGUCUAGUGAGAGUAGGGCUCAAUUCAUGGCAUCACAUGUAACCGCCAUCCGGAACAGUGUCCAUGGAGGUGUUGCCCCAGAUAUUUCAGGAGAGGGGUCAGUGACAAUCCAGGAUGUGGCUGUGGACUUCACCCCAGAGGAGUGGCAGCUGCUUGACUGUGAUCAGAGAACCUUGUACUGGGAUGUGAUGUUGGACAACGUUAGAAACCUCAUCUCAGUGGGGGACCCAGCUACUGAAGCAAAAGUGGUCUUCAAGAUGGAGCAAGGACAAGAACCAUGGAUGGUGGAGGGAGUGAACCCACAUUGGUGCCAUCCAGGGUAAUGGUGGUAGAAACUGAAGAAUGAGUGAUUUUCUGAAUAUCCCUCAGCUCUAAGUUAAGCCUUGUCUUACAACGUUUUCAUACUGAUUGUAUGCUAAUUAAACAUAAGUCAGUCACACCAAAUCACUUGGAAAACCACAAACCAUAUUACAGUAUAUAUGUAAAUUGCUUAUAAACUGAGGGAGCUUUUUGCAAGUUACCCUGCCUUAUCUCUCAUUUCCUGUUAAAGCUGUCAUUUUGCUUUUUAAGUUAUUCUUACCCUCCUAGGUAUUUCUCAGCUCCUGUUCUUGGCAGUAAUAACAUCUGAGCAAAUCCAAAUUUUAAGAUGGCAAGAAGAUUCCCUUGGAGGGUAGUGAGUGUCUCAUUGCUGCUAGAAUGAUGUGAGACCCCUAAAAAGAGGCCUGAUGCAUCAAGGUGGCAGACAGAAUAAGAAUGAGCCUGGGACUUUUAUUUGGUGUUAUGAUCUGAGUUCUAUGAAUUAAACUGUUUGCUCCCUUUCUUUUUUUCUUUUCUUUUUAAAUUAUUUACUCUUAAACAUUCAUGUUUUGUUUGCUUCUCCCCUCACAGUUCUCUCUCUAACACCAUCACACGUCAGGCCAGGCACUCCUGGCCACAGUGUUUCAGAGAAGUUUGCUCCUUUUCUUCAGUGCCAGAGUUAGGACAGUAAAAGAAUUAGUUGUAUGAACCAUACAGAACCAAAAUUAAAUGGAUGUUUAAAAAGUUGAAACAAACAAAUUUUUUUUUCUAUUUAAACCAAGUAAUUGUCAGGCACUAAAACAAAAAUGAAUUCCACAAAUUCUAAUGCAAUUCAUGGGCCUAGAGCUCACAAUUGAGAAGGGAAAACUGGGCCUCAACUGUUGUAUAUAUGCAAAUACAAAGAUCAGCAGCAACAUUCCUAGAUUGUGAGGUAUGUGGAAAACCAUGUCUACUAAUAAUCAAAUAUGCAAAGCAUUUUUAAGUAAAAUCAAGUGAAUUUUUAAAGUUCUUUUUAUAAAAAGUACACAUUUUUAUUGAAUAAAAUAGGGUUCCAAGGAGCACUAAAUGUUUACACAUCAUUGGAAGACUGUCAUCUCUUUCAAGACCCUAUUUUGUUAUUGAUUGCUGUGACCACAAGUUACUGUAAUGUUUUACUUUCUUGUACAUAUUUUCAAAAUAUAUAUAAUGCAAAAUUUAUCUUUUUUUUAAAUUGCAGUAUAAUUGACAUAUAUAACUUACAGGUGUACAACAUAGUCAAUAUUUGUAUAUAUUGUGAAAUGUUCACCAUAAGUUUAAUUAACAUCAAUUAAAACACAGUUAUAAAAAUUUUUCUUCUUGUGAUAAGAACUUUUAAGAUUUACUCUCAGCAACUUUCAAAUAUACAAUACAGUAUUAUUAACUAUAGUCACCAUGCUAUAUGUUACAUCCCAUAACUUAACUUAUUUUGUAAUUGUUAGUUUUUACCUAUUGACUCCCUUCAUCCAUUUUGCUCAACCUCAACCCCUGUUCUCUCUGUCUGUGAAUUUGGGGGUUUUUGUUAUUUUAGAUUCUACACAUGAGAUCAAAAGUAUUUGACUUUUUCUGUCUGACUUGCUUCACUUAGUAUAAUACCUUCUAGGUCCAUCCUUGUUGUCACAAAUGGUAAGAUGUCAUUCUUUUUUCUGGCUAAUAAUCUAUUGUAUAUAUGUAAACCACAUUUUCUUUAUUCAUCUAUUGAUGGACACUUAGGUUGCUUCAUAGCUUGACCAUUGUAAGUAAUGCUGCAAGAUAACAAUUUAACAACUAGUUAUUAUUUUCAAGUAAUAGGUUUAGUAUGUUUUCUUUCAACCUCAGAUACAUUAGUGGGCAAAGCACUUCUAUAUUUAAAGUUGUAAGUAUGACCAUUAAUCUGAAGAAAAGGAUGAUAAAAAAUUAUUUACCCACGUCUAGACUUUUUUGACACCUAGUAUUCCAGUACUAGAACAGAUAUAUUGCUAUGUGGGGAGCUUUCUACCACUGACUACAUUUUUUUCCUAUAUAACUUCAACCCCAGAACAUGAUUUUGGCAAGAAAAACACCAAAAUGUUAUUUACACUCAGCUAAACAUGAUCUUAGAUCCCCAGAAACCCCUUUUUCUUUAUUUGAAGGCUGUACUUUUGUCUAGUCAAAAAAUCUGAAAUAGUCAUGUGUAAUUGUAGGGAAGUUCCAUGGCCAGGAUCCUCCCCUGAUCCUAACCUACUCACCCAUCGUGUAGAUGCAGUGAUGUAAUACUUAGCCUACUGCGCAGGCACAUGCUUGCAUGCCCAUUGGUGAUAAGCCAUUACUGCCUGUGUUGCUAUAAGAAGAGCUCUGCCCAGUGCUAGGAGGAGAGCAGAGCCUGGAGCAGAGACAGAGCCUGAGAUGGAAUUGCUACUAGCAGACUGCUCCAGAGGCAGAUGGGAUUCUAGCACUUGACCUACCCCCGUGAGAAUAAAGCUCUGUAUAAGCCCCUUUUUACUCCCAAACAUUCAGUUGUCAUUUUUUGGUCUCACUGAAUCCAGAGUGAACUUGCCCAGAGAUGGGAAUUCUCUCUGGCCAGGAGCUACAAUAAUGUAAGCAGAAUAUCCCUUUUCACACCCCCUUCCCUCUAGAAUGUUACACCUUGAGAUAUUUUUACUUUCACUUUUUUCCCUCUUAACAGGAACACUCAAAUAUGCUACUUUUCUCAUUGUUUAAAGCAUGCAUACUCAGACAUUAGGUUGAUUUUCUUCAAUAUGAAGAUACAUUUAUUUUUUAUGCUUUAUGUAAUAUGUACUUAUUAAAUAUAUAUAUAGAAUACCAAAAAAAUUGAUGAAUAUCUAUCACCUGAAAUCUCAUUUUCCUGAGAAACCAUCAUUAACAUCAGUCACCUGAGAAAAGCAAGAGGCAUUGAUGAACAAAUUGUGAACAUACUAGUAAAUCAGUUAAUAUUGGGUGUAAUUUAAAUAAUGACUGAUAUGGGAAAGGGCUAGAAAUAAGGUGAAAUGAAUAUUGUAGAUAAUAACACUAGGUAAGUGGGUGGAAUCAGGGUUAAAGUGUUACAAAGUCCUUGUUCUGGGAAAGGAUAGAAAUACUUUAUACCUUGUUGAAUAUGCAUGCUAAAAAUUGAAGGCUAGCCACCAAAAGAAAUAGACUACAUUGUAAAUCACUAGAGAGAAAUAAGGGAAUAAGGAGAUCUAUAAAUCCAAUGGAAAACAUUAUUCUUAAAGAAUAAUAAUGUGUUGUAGUUUUUUCUUUGAUAUUUCAGAAACACUUUGUAACUUACAUUACAAAAGGUAGAUAAUCAGGUGUUCUCCCCCAAUCCUAAGUCAAAAAAAGCUAGUACCUUUUUGGAGAAAGGAAGAAAGAAGAUAAAUUGGUGAUAUUAAAUUACUUCAUGAACUAAUAUCUCCUGCAGAAAGUAUUUAAUUUUUUCAAGUCUAGAAAUUAAUUAGGGCUAGUAAGGCAAUAAACAGGUUUAAUCAGUAUAAGAGUUACCCCUCUCUGUUGGACAGAAAUGAUUAAUUUAGACUGAUCUUUUGAGCAAGGUCUUUCACCACAUAAUGGCACAACAAAAUAUCUUUAAGUCAGAAUGACUGUUUUGCAUCAAGAUUCUCUGUCUUUUCAUUGUAUUUUAAUCAAAAGGGAGAAGGAGAUACUUUUUAUUCCUCCUCCUUUUGUCUUUACCAAAGAUAGCCCUACAAAUCGACACUUUUCCAAAGUAGAGACUGUCAGAUUGUUUUUAAAAUCCAGAUAUAAGAUGCAUACAAGAAGACUGAAGCAAAAUCAUAGAGAAAACAAAAUCCACUAAGCAAAUAAUAGAAAGAUGAUGUAUCAGUAUUAAUUGGUAUAAUCAGGGCUUCGUGAUAUUUUUUCUGUUAAGGUCCAGGUAUUAAAUACUUUAGGCUUUGUGGGCAAUACAGUUUCUCUUAAAACUACUCAACUCUUGCUGUAACAGUAAAGUAGCUACAUUAAUAGAUAACGUCAGUGAAUGAGUGUGACUGUAUGCUAAUAAAACUUUACAAAAACAGGCAGCAAACCAGAUUUGGCCCUCAGGAUGUAGAUUGCUGACCCCUGUUCUUAUUGUGUAAUGAUUAUACAGCAAUGAGGAAAAAAGGCAAGAUGCCAGCACUCAACUCAAAAAACAAUAAUCAAACAAAUAUAAUCUCAGGUAUUGAUAUAUAAAAUAUUUUUUAAAAACCUGUGAGGAGAUUGAAUGUAAUAGGAAACUAAGAUGGGGAACCUCUGAAAGCCUUUAAACAGAGACCUGAAUGAGUGUAGGGGAGUUGGAAAGGUCCUGGGUCCUGAGGCAGGAGGGAGAAGGAAACAAACAUUUGUGGAGCACUGACUACAGGCAGGAUACAGUCAGCAUUGACUUUUCUAUUUAUUCUCACAAUGGACAUUAUGCCCAUUUUACAGAUGCAGCAACUGACUCAGAGGUUGAGAGACUUGUCGAGUCUACCAAGCUAUAAAAUGGUGGAGCCAGGAUUCAUCCGCUGUACGUGUUGUCAGUGGACAAAUCUUCUCAUCUAGGGACUCAGCCUAAAUUGUCUACAUCUAGAGGGCUGGGCUAAACUCUAACUUAAGGACUCUGAAAGAAUUUCUCCCUUGCCUUGUGCCCUCCUUUGGGUUUGGUCUCUGGAGUCAGUGAUAUCAGUGCUAGAGGAGAGGACUUCCUGAAGGAGAUGGGUUUUGUUUCUUAAAGAGAAAAUUUGCAUAUAUGAACUUCCAUACUGCUUUCAAAUCUUUACUUUUUUUGCUGUUGAUAAUUGCUUUAUGGCCUAGUAUAUGAUGAGUUUUUACAGUGUUUGAUGUGUGGUUGAAUAAAACAUAUGUUCUCUAAUGGUAGGCACCAAUUUCUGUAGGCAUCCAUAAGAUAGGAUGUGUUCAAAAUUUCUAUAUCUUUACCGACUUAUUUUUGUUUGCUUGACCCAUCAAUAAUUUAGAAAAAAAUCUAUGGAAUCUCUGAGUAGUAGAUAUGCCCAUUUUUCUCCGUAAUACUUCCAUUUUUAAAAAAUGUAAUUUGAGCAUGUUUUAUGAGGUAUAUAGAAGUUUAGAGUUGUUAUAUCUUCAUGGGGAAUUGAACUUUUUAUUCUUAUGUAGUGACUUUUCAUAUGACUAGUGAUGCUUUUUGUUUAGAAAUCUGUUACUAGUACCACUAUUCCAGCUUUCUUUUGAUGAUUUGCCUGCUUUAUAUCUUUCCAUACUUUUACCUUCAACCUUUUCUUGGCUUUAUGCUUUAGGUGUAGCUCUUGCUGACACUUUAUAUCUGAAUUCUCCCCUCUUCUCUCAGUCUGAUAAUCUGUGCCUUUUUAAUUGGCAAGCUUAGUCUAUUUGUAUUUUGCAUAGUUAUUGAUAUAUUGGAUAUAUAUUAUACUGUCUUGAUUUUUUUUAUUUUGCUAUCAUUAAUGUAUAAUUACUUGAACAUUAUGGUUACUAGACUCCCCCUAUUAUCAAGUCCCCCCAACAUACCCCAUUACAGUCACUGUCCAUCAGCAUAGUAAGAUGCUAUAGAAUCAUUACUUGUCUUCUCUGUAUAUACUGCCUUUCCCGUGUC